rnacentral:misc_RNA from 1 species
GGAAAUGAUAUUCUUGAUUCAUAUACUUUAUAUACAAUAUGCACUGCCUAUAUAUGGUUAGUACUAGCAGAAAACUAAAAACAUUCCUGUAUAUCCAAAAUAAAAUAAGAUGUAUUAGUUAUUAUCGAUUAAGAUUAUGCAUCAUCAUCCCUUUGCUUGCGCAUCCGUGCUCCCCAAGACAUACUGUUACUGGAUUCCUUGUAUGUUCUUCGUCUCUUGAGCUCUGAUAGCUGAGACUGCCAACGGUUUUUCCACUCACCUCUCUCCUCCAUCGCCUCAUGUGAACGAGCAGAGAAACCAAAGUGAAGUCCUUUAGCCAUAUCUAUAUCAUACAAAGCUCUCAUUCCAGGAUCUGAUAACGUUUCAUAAGCUUCCUGAACCCUAAUAAACCUCUGUGUAUACUCUUCAACCCGAUCUGGAGGUGAAACAUCCGGGUGAUACUUCCUUACUAAUUGCUUGUACGCUUGCUUGAUUUCCAACAAAGAUCCAUUUUCCGGUAUACCCAGAAGAUCGUAAAAGCUCUU